rnacentral:lncRNA from 1 species
ACUGCAGCUCCCUUUGCAUGAGCCCUGCCCUUCUGCAAAAUGGAUCAAACCAGGGUGGGGCGAGCUUGGAGACUGCUGGGCCCUGUCUGCCCUGGGCUUUGGGGUUACAUAUGUUUCUGCCCAGCAACACUGGCAGGGAGGAGGGCCUCACUGGCCCAGGGCAGCCAACUGUGCAUCUUUGUCAGAGCCUAUCAGGAAACUGCCUGUCACCAGCUUCCCAGCACACUGUGGGGGUGGGGUUAGGGAAAGGUUCCUAUAUUCACAAAGAUAAUUUGGGUGGAUAGGAAUAGCAUCAGGGGAAGAAAGGGGUAUCACCACAUCAAUUAUUGAACUUCACAAAUGAAUAUUUUGGCUCCAGUUCUGGGUCUAAAGCCCUUCCUUUAGGAAAGAGACACUAAAUGAAAAAGACAGUUUGCUUCCAACAACAGAAAAUUCGUUUUUCUUAAUGAGAGUCAUCUAGAGACUUGGUAGAUUAAAGAAGAAUCCAAGGCGAGCAUUCCCCAGCUGGUAUUCCGUGUUUAUUCGGCAUCCUAGAUAAUAUGUAUAUUAUAUUAUCCCAGCAAUGUGUAUGUGCUGGGAGGACUCUGUGGCUGUCGAGAGUGCUGGUCCUAAGAGGAGCCUUUCUUUUUCUUUCUCUCCCGUAUGUAGCUCAGUUUAGCCUAGAACUCUUAGCCUCCCAUCCUCUACCUCCUGAGGGCUGGAGUGGUGACACAGGUCAAUAAUCCUAGCGUUCACGAUGCUGAGGUAGGGCAAUUGAGAGAUGUGAGUUUGAAGCCAUCCUGGGCUAACAGAGGGAGCCCCUGGCUCAGCCCUAACCCCGAGUGAUCCUUCAGCUGGGUAUGGUGCUGUAUGCCUAUAGGAGUCCUGGCUACUCACUAUAUGCAAAAGGUAGAAGCAAACUCGAACGUUUGGAUGAAUGAUAAAGUGCACUGGCUGCCGGCUGUAGAAUGUCAUUCGGCUUUAGAGAGGAGAGAGAUUUAGCUACAACAUGGAUGAGAAGACAUCAAUGCAAGGAAAGGGAAAAAUGCUAUAACACUGACACAAGGAGGAAAAUAAGAUCAAAGACAAGUGCUGCUGAGUGGUGGCACACGCCUUUAAUGCCAGCACUCAGGAGACCGAAGCAGGUGGAUCUCUGAGUUCCAGGCCAGCCUGCUCUACAGAGUAAUUUCCAGGACAGCCAGGACUACACAGAGACACCCUGUCUCAAGAAAAACAAAACCAACCAAAGACAAGUGUCAUCGAGUUCACGGAUACCUGGAGUCGUGAAUUCAGAGAGACUAAAUGUGUAGUCAUGGCCAGGAGUGCUGAUGGGCACUGUGUGACUGUACUGCCAUUUAGGACAACAGCAACAGCUCUCUGGAGCUGGGCAUCAUGCUGCAUGCCCAUAACCACAGCUCUCAGGAGGUAGAGGCAAGCGUAUCAGGAAUUCAAGGCCAGCUUUGACUAUACUGAAGUGGAAAUUUAAGUGUUCUUUGGAAAGUCGGUUGGAUGGUGUUUUGCUGGGGCAAACACCUGCAGGAACAUUUCGUUAAAGGAAACACAGAUGUGAAAAGCUAAGGUAGACUAGAGAAGGAACUCAUUUGGCUGAAGCAGAUACAGGAGAGAGGAUGAAGCACGUGAAGGGACAGGAGAUGAUGGAUUCUUUGCUAAUGACACUCAUGUAUUGGUCUGCCAUAGAGAGAAACCGCACCAAAAAGCCUCUGGUGGUAGAAUACAGUGUGUUGCCACUUGUGAGGAUUCUGGCUGAUUGGAUGCUCGUGCUGAGGCAAGGCACAUGGAGGACAUGUGAUGUUUGGAUGGUAUAAAUAGGACAGAUCUUGGCUUGCCGGUACAGUUAACUGUGCAAUGCUUGUGGGUCUCAGGUCUUCGCUGAUCUUUGCUUCUCUGAGAGAGGCAUAGCUGAGAACUACUCCUGGUGUUGCUGUUGGUCCCUCCUGCUGAUUUGAGCCUAGCUGAGGCCUGGCUGUCUCUGCUAGGUGUUUUCACCUGGUGCUAACCUGACUCUACCGAACUGGCCUGCUGGUGUAUCUGUGAAGUGUUUUCGAGUGGAUCGAGUUGCCCCUGCCUGCUAAACCUGAGAACUGAGCUGCUGGUUUCCAGACAACACAGGUCUCUCCAUAUAGUCCUGACUCUCCUGGAAUUCCUGGGUAGGCCAGGCUGGCCUUGAACUCACAGAGAUUCCCUUGCCUCUGCCUCUUGAGUGCUGAAGUUAAAAGUGUGUGCCUCCGUUUUUGGCUAUGAUCCGGAUGCAAGUAUGUAGUUGUGUUGUGGAAAUGAUUUGGGGGGCCUUUUUUGGGGGAGUUGUUUUUUUGAGACAGGGUUUCUCUGUGUAGCCCUGGCUGUCCUGGAACUCACUUUGUAGACCAGGCUGGCCUUGAACUCAGUGCUGGGAUUAAAGGCAUGCACCACCACACCUGGCUCUUUGGGACCUUAUUUUGAGUGGCCAAGAUGCAGGAGACACAAGGCCAUUAUGGUGCUGGCCAUAGGCUGUCAACUCUGCAAGAGUGUGGUGAAAGCUAGCACGCCAGCCUCCAUGGAAAACCGAUAUGGUGUUAGGCGGCACCAUGCCAAGUUCACCUCUGCUGGGUCAGAUGGUAACGGCUGAACUUGUUGCUGUUGAGCAGUGGAAGAUGUGUUAAGGUACUGUAAUAAUGGCUGAGAUCUUCCGGUCACCUUACAGGAGAUCUUCACAUCUAAAUUUUGGAAAUGAGUAUUUUAUAUUAAAUAAAAGAUGUUUGGUGUGUGUGUGGUGGUGGUGGGGAGCGUGUGCCUCCAUAUCUGGCCUUGGGGAAAGAGGGUGAGCUCGGAUCUCUGUAGUGUAUUAAAUCCUGGCUCAAGGUUUCCACUCAAGUCCCUGGAUGAAAGACACAUACAACCUCUAUGUGUACAAUAAGCCUCAAACACACAGGAGCUGGGCAGAUACUACUCUGUUGUUAGAAUCUACUUUCCUGGCUGUCAAGAUGGCUCAGCAGGUAAGAACACUGACUGUUCUUCUGAAGGUCCUGAGUUCAAAUCCCAGCAACCACAUGGGGGCUCACAACCAUGCUGUCUGAAGACAGCAACCGUGUACCUAUUGAUAAUAAUAAAUAAAUCUUUGGGCUGGAGCCAAGCAGAGGUCCUAAAGUUCAAUUUUCAAGAACCACAUGAAGGCUUACAACCAACCAUCUGUACAGCUACAGUGCGUUCAUAUAUGUAAAAUAAAUAAAUGAUCUUUUAAAAAAAAAGAAUCUACUUUCCUAUCAACCCUGAGUUAUUAUUUACUAUGUUCAUCUGGAUUGCUCUUAACUCCAAUUGGGCAGUCCUCGGGGCCAUGUUCUCUUGACUCCUAACUCAUAGUGGCUUCUCCUUCCUCCUUCUCCA